AUGCUGUGUAGUAAUUAUUGUAUUUACGAAUUUAGCACCAAAAUAUCACUAUGUAUUGAAAACAUUGACUACAAAAAUGCGUUGGAUAAUCCAGAAUGUUGGAUAAGUGAGUGUUGGAUAAGUGAGACUCUACUGUACUUGCAUUGCCCGGCUUCCACCUCCCCCAUCUCAUGGGGAGAAGUAUCCAUCGCCUGCUUCCUCCCGUUUCUGCCUAUACAACAUGAGAAGCCUCCUCUGUUGCCACAAUGGUGGCUUACCACACUCCCACUUCCCUUGCGGCAUGGAGUCCUGCCAGAAGUAGAUCGACAUUGUGGAAUGGAAGACAGCGGACUCUGUUCCUGCAAGUGCAGUAGGAGCAUUCUACAACUGGCACUUUUGCCCAUCUGAUGAGCCUGCUAGUGGAUUCAAGGGGCUUCAAGGGGCUAGGAAUCAUUGAAAAAGAAGCAUUUUUGCACUUCCUCUCUCCUACCCUCAUCCCCGCUCCCCUAUUUCUUUCUUUCCUUCCUUCCUUUUUCUGAGAAGGCUGCCACCACUUCUUCCUUCAGCCUACUCUGUCUCCCAAAGCCCCAAACCACCACCAGGUUAAGAGAAAUAAUAUCAUUGAAAUAUGAACUGGUGUUCAGAAAAGGCAUGCCUAUAUGGAUUUAAUACCAAGCAGGCUAACAUCAACUCACUCCUCCCCAAAAAGUUGUUAAAAUAUUUAUUUAUUUUAUUUAUUUUUUAUUUACAGUAUUUAUAUUCCGCCCUUCUCACCCCGAAGGGGACUCAGGGCAGAUCACAUUAUACACAUACAGGGCAAACAUUCAAUGCCCAUAAACACAUUGAACCGAGACAGAGACAGACAGACAGACAGACAGACAGACGCAGAGGCAAUUUAACCUUCUCCUGAGGGGAUGUUCGAUUCUGGCCACAGGGGGGAGCAGCUGCUUUAUCAUCCACUCUGAAGGCACUUCCUCACUUCUUCAUUCCAGUUGUAAAUUAGUUAAACUUGCCUCCCCACUUUUUAUAAGUGGUACCUUAUUUCCUACUUGAUAGAUGCAACUAUCUUUCGGGUUGCUAGGUCAGCAACGAGCAGGGGCUGUAUUUUAUUUUUAAUUGACGGGUGCUCACCCCGCCACGGGCUGGCCUCAAACUCAUGACCUCAUGGUCAGAGUGAUUUAUUGCAGCAGCUGCUCAA
rnacentral:lncRNA from 1 species